ACCCCCUUUUUUUUUUUUAAAUUUUAUUUUGCUGCACUUGCAUAUUAGUAAUGCCCUCAUCUACCUCAAAAAGAAUUGAAUUACUUCCUGGACUUUUUAGUAAGUCUGUAAACAGGCCAGCUGGGUUCAUACAGAUUUGAUUUUUUUGUUAAAGUUUUGUUUUAUCUCACUGAAAAUAGUUUGAAAAAAAAAAAUUCAAUACAUUGGCAUGGUACUCUAGUUUGGGUCUUCUUUCCCACUCUUUAUUGAUCAUUAAGCUUUUGUUGAGCUUGAUUCUGUAUAAGCAUUUGUUUCUCAUGCAAUCUUUUUUUUUUUAUAUAUACCUUUUUAUGGUUGUCAGUCAUACUGUACGAGUACAAUAUCAUCACUUUCAUGUGUUUUAUUCAGCAUGCUGUUGAUAACAGAGAACCUCCCAUCUAAAAUAAUCCUUCCAAUAUUGUGUGUCACAUAUAAGUGCGUCUUUGCAAGCCUAAUAAAGUCAAGCAUGAGAUCCAGCUUGCUUGUUAAGUUAUCCAGGAACUUUUGCAGGGCCAAGCUUGGCUGAUUGGCACAUGGAGCCUGCAGAUGUUCUAUUCUCUUAAUGAACUAUCAUUCGAUUCAAGCAUGAAAAGAAUAAAAUUAGUGCUCUCUCCUCCCAUCCUUUCCCACCUUCCAUAUAAUAAUCAAAGAAUGGAAAAUUUCAAAAGUACUUGCUGGCAGAUUUUUUAGAGAUGUGCGAACAUAUCAAGAUCACUGGAAUUGUACUUAGAAUACAGAAGUCACCCGGGAAUAAAAUGGCCAUAGUGUUUUCUGGUUGGUCACACCAUCUUAAUUGGGGACUUAGUGUAGGCAACCACUCAAAUAAAUAUGAAAUGGUAAGAAUGUAUGAGAUUGAGACCGGUUGAUUUUAAUAUCUUCUUGUAUUUGCUUAUCAUUUUCUCUAGAUAUUACAAACAACCAGCCCAAACAGCUUUUGUGAAUUAGAUAUUAUGUUUCCUAUUUCUUUUCCUUCUAUUUCUAUGAUUACACCAGCUCUGCCAGCUAAAAUGUUGCUUUCUCAAAAGCCAUAUGCGAAAGAACAAAAAUGCUAUCUCUCUUUACUUCCUAAGCCAACUUCCUUGAUGAUUCUUUAGGAAAUUGAGAUGAAUUUUAUUGAUAUAUAUUUUCUGUGCAGUAAUUCUUUUAAGCUUCUGGGCAGAGGUGCACUAUAACUCGAUAUUUGCACAAGGAGGUAACAAUUUCUUCCACAAUGGGCACAGAUUGCAUUGGUUCAUCCAUAUGAUUUAUUUAGUGGUAUAAAAUAUGAGAUUUGUUGUUCUAUUCUUAAACUGUUUUGGGUUGAACUGCACUGCAACUUGAAUUUGAUGAAUUUUGACUUUCUAGGGCCAAAUAUGGGCUUAUCGAAUGUCUCAUAUUUUCAGUGCUUUUGUCAAAAGCCCUUGCUUGGAUAUUUGAAAAUGAAUGUCUUGAAUGAAAAUAAAGAGAGGAAUAUACUGGAUUAAAUUAGCUAUAAAGCAAGCGAGGAGUUAAAUGAGAAAUGAAGGUUUUAACCGCAAAUAGAGUGGUAACGGAUAAAAAUGGGUUAGAGUUCUUACUUUCUAGUGGGGGAAACUGUUGGAUAAUGAGAGAUUAUGUGCUGCCUAGGCUGCUAGGGGUGGUGAAAGUGUUUAGAAAGCAAAAUAUGAAAGAAUUCCUUUGGAAUGAAAUAGAACAAAGCUUUAGGAUGUCAGAAUACUGAGAAUUUCAGGAAGAGGGAAGGAAAGUUAAUUAACAAUAGAGAGUGACAACCGAGAAAAUGAAAAAGUUUACAGGGAAAGAGUGGGAAGGAGGCAAUAUUGGCAAACUCUGGUAAAUUUUGAAUUCUUUCAGACAGUCCACAAAGAGUUCAUUCUUUUAUUUGUAGGGGCUUGCUCCUGAAAUGGUAUCUCUACCUACUUAUUUGACCUCAGAAGCACUUCAAAAUUGGGGAACUUGGAAUCCUACAGUAUCUGAACUCUGAGGCACUCAAUUCUUUACAUGGUGUCUGUUGAGAUUGUUUAAAACAGGAUACUGUAAGAUUGCUUUAUAACAAUAUGUUUUAGAAGAAAGUAAAGCACUCAAUUCUCUACUUAUAAAUAAUUGUUUAGUUAUAAUGAUAGCUACAUCAUUUCUAUUAAUGUGCACCACAGCCCUAGCACAACCACACUAAUUUGCUAUUUCUUAAUAUUUCCACAUGGGAUCUAAAUUAAUUUGAAAUUCAGUUAACAAAAUGAAAUAUGAUAAAGAAAAAAUACGGGAUAAACUAUACAUUUUUGUUUUAAGAAAAAUACAAAAUACCAUUUUACUGCUUUAUGCUAAUAAGUAUGUAUUGAAACAUCCACAAAAUCAAGAAGCAAAACUUUUCUACAUAAAGAAUACUGAAGAAGAGAGUCCCAAAUCUCAAAUCCCGGUAGGCUUUAGUUGAAGAACGAUAGGAUUAGGAACUGGUCAACCAAAUAUCCGGUAGUUGUAUGAAGAGAAGCCUUUGCUAAAUUAAGGUUUAAUUUUCAAUAUUGUUGCAUGCAAGUGUGCAUGUAAGUGAGGAAAAUUUUUACCUACACCCAACCAAUAGAAAAUUACAUACAUGUAUGUUUAUGUGGGACAACCUUGGGUAAGAGAAUGGGAAAUAGGAAGAGUUGAUAUAAGUUAAGAUUAAUUUUUGUACAAGCAGAACAAGACCAGACUGAUAACUCAAUUGAAAAUGAAUUUGGAGAAGUCAAUUUUGAUGGAUGAGAUUUUGGUUGAAGAGUCACGUGCCACUUCGACUUUCCUGCCAUGACUUUUACUAAAAUGGCAAUUGUUGAUUGGUUGGGUGUAUAAACCUGGGUGUAAGAAUUACUUUGUGAGUCAUUGGUUUUUCGGAUUGAGCAUUAUGUAAUUGUAGCUAGUUAUGUUUGGUUGCUUUGAAUAUUUUUAAUGUGAUUUUCUUAACAGACUAAACAAGUUUUAAGUCAUUGACUCGCUCUUAGUAACUAGUAACUAAUGACAAUUCAUAGCAUGCUAUCAUUGUAAUCCAGAUUGGCCUGCAUAUGAGACCGAGAAGAAGAAAAGGUGGCAAAUGUUUUGAAAGAAGCAUUUGGAAUCACUAGAUGAAUGCCAAUGACUGUUAUGUAUAGUUUGCUAAAUUCUGCAGUAUCAGCUUUUGGUAGCAGCAGCAACUUUCUCAUGCCUAUUUUCUGCCCUAGUUAACCGCAAUUUUAAGAACUUCAUAUGAAGGGAUUUAAUCCUUUCGCAUUGCUCUGCCUUCUUUGGCCAUCUCCUCAUUGAUCAAUCCCUAAUCCACAUUAUUAUUCUAGAUCAAAUAUGCUGUGUCAAAUAUGAAACAUUCCUUGCAACCGUUAUACUGAUUCACUAUGUUCUAGUUUGUUUCUUUCUGAUUGUUCUUAAAUUGUGCAUGCAAGUUUUUGCAGUUGCAUGCUUGCUGGAAGCAUAUUUAUCUUUACUAAAGAAACUAUUGAUUACCAAUGGGAAAUUUCUUCAGAAUUUUGGAAUAUAUGAUUGUGUUAGAUGAUAACAGUUGUAUAUUCCAUCUCAUGAACAUGCUUCUCAGCAUUCAACAAUGUAUCUUUACUAUUUUUCAAGUGAUAAUAAUUAUUUUUCUGUUGUUUUGCCAA
rnacentral:misc_RNA from 1 species